rnacentral:lncRNA from 1 species
GCCAAUUAUGCGACGGUUUUCCGCACUAUCAUCUGAAGAUCUCAUUUCUUUCGUUGCUUGUGGACUAGCGUUCACUGUGCUUUUGUCAUCCGUCAGACGAGAUGGGAACGUCGUCUCCGCAUUCUUUGACAUAAUGGGCUCGGCCUUCGCCAACUUUCGUCACGAUUAUCUAGUAUAGUAUGGCUCGCGAAGAAGGAGGUCAGGAUGCGGUAAUUGAGAAUGCAUAUGAGAAGAUUCGAUUUUGCAACUUUGAGGCUGCAUGCCUUGGGGCCCUCGUGCAGCUGUCCACAGUGUUUUCCAACAGUGUACAUGCCUUGAGCCAACCGAUGAUUUCCAGAUCACGACAGCGGAAUGCUUUCAUAUGAAACCACAACACAUUUGUUGUUAAAGUCAUGUGCCCUCCGCGGACAAGACUCUGCUCGCCACUGAGCGUCAUACACACAGUGUGCGUGGUACACUUACUCCCUCACAGAGCUGUAUUUUCCGUGUCCUCUUCGGCAGGCAGCGAUUUUCUACUGAAGUGGGUGUCUUCAAAACAGGAAGGUAUCGCGUCCGGAUGAAAUGUAAUAAGAGCUCCUUUCAUCGUCAAAGGCCUGUUAGUUACCUCGGAGUGGUUUGCUUAAAGAUACAUGUGAAAACAGCUUAACGAUAGGCGGGUCGCGAAUCGGGAUUGAAAUGACGAGACAAGACUUCCUAUGAAGAUAUUGUCGUUCCUGGCUAGUUGCAGCCUGACGAACCAGCACAGCUGUAGUAUCGUUGUUUGUUGAGCUCUGCAACCCUGUAAUUCCACAAAUGAAGGGUCAACGAAGCAAGCAGCGCUCUUGGUGUACUGUCGAGAGGUAACGGAACUAAGAACGUUGUUGUUUCGCAGAGACAGCGAAAUGAUCAUCAUUUGAUGUCAGUUUCGGUGUAUUCGCCGGGCUGCUGCUGAGUAAAUCGCGCCUUCAGAGGACCGUUUUUGACAUUCUGCAUAGCAGAUACAGCUUGUCCGUGUGUGCCACUCUCCCCCCUGACAGGCAAAUAGCGGGCGCUCCUGCAUUUUGAGUAGGGUUGGGUUUUUCGGUCACGUUCGCAUAUGGUGGAGAAAAGUGCUGCCUCUGAAUAUAUAUUCCUUCAUAUUGGGGACUGCUGACAGCAUGAAAGUCGACACGUUUCGUUACCUAGUUUUAUGGUCGCAGUACCCUGUCGUUUGACGUGGUCAGGUGGGCUCACUUCCUGCGCUAUGAAAGAGCGUUGUGAACCGGCUUGUUCGAGUGUCAAUUAAUCGCAGCAUCAAGUGAACAGGCCA